UACGGAGGGUGCGAGCGUUGCCCGGAAUCACUGGGCGUAAAGGGCGCGUAGGCGGCCUGAUAAGUAGGGGGUGAAAUCCUGCGGCUUAACCACAGGGCUGCCUUCUAAACUGUCAGGCUCGAGCACAGUAGAGGCAGGUGGAAUUCCCGGUGUAGCGGUGGAAUGCGUAGAGAUCGGGAAGAACAUCAGUGGCGAAGGCGGCCUGCUGGGCUGUUGCUGACGCUGAGGCGCGACAGCGUGGGGAGCAAACAGG
rnacentral:rRNA from 1 species